GGGCACAUGGUGUAGUUGGUUAUCACGCCCGCUUAGCAUCCAUCCAAUGUUACAAUGUUAUCUGCGGGCGGUCCCCGGUUCAAUUCCGGGUGUGUCCA